CACGCCGGAGGAGGACGUUGAUCUGAAGGCCGCAGCCACAGAGCUCUCCGGACUGGGGAUGGCUGAGACACAGCCUGGGCUGGACUGAACAGCUUCCAGAGGAGAACGGACAGGUGCCACGUGGUCAGGGAAGCCCCCACGGAGUCCGACGUGGCGGUGACUGCGGAUGCCCCACGGUGAGCCCGAGUCCAAGGGAGCAAAGAAGGAGAGGGCGUGUUUGGCUGCGUGAAAACAGUAGGAACGUUCUGAAAUCACGGAAUCCUUAUGAGAAGAACUCGUCAUCCAAUACCCAACAGGAGCUGCUCCUGCCCCGGUCUUCACAACGCGAGGGCUCCAUCCUCCGUGAUCCUUGAUAGCUCAGCUCUAGGAUCUUCACAACGAGAGGGCUCCGUCCUCUGUGGUCCUUGAUAGCUCAGCUCUAGGGCCGCGCACAUUCUUGGUAGAGUGGGACGUGUCUGCUGUUUUUCUAAAAGCUAUUUUUUAAAGGCCUCUGCAACACACAACAUACGUUCUUUUAAACCGCAGUGAAAACUUGAAUGUAAAAAUGGGCCUCACGGGAAUCUUUUCAAUAUUUUACAUUUCUUCGGAUACUUUUCAAAGCCCCUCCAUUUCUCCACCUCCCCUUUCUCAUCUGGUCUCAGCCGGCACAGUGUGGCACGGAGGUGGACCGAUUUCCUCAGGACACCACAGCCAAAGCUCGGAAAACCAGGUUUCCUGAGUUUCAGUUCAGCCAUCCACGACUGUGGUGACAGGCAUCGUGUCUUUCUCUUUAAGAAAAAAAGAAAAUUGUAUAUAAAUCACUGCUUUCAGGUAAAGGAUUUUUAAAAAGCUUGCAAUACCUGCAGUCAUUUUUAUCUGAAAUCAGAAAGAUGUGAAAUUUGUGAGCUGAUACGUAAAUGUGCAUCUGAAAAGCCCUCGCGCACAAGAUGACAGGGUUGACUUCUGGCUUUGGUGUCCCCAGGCCUGAGCAUAGGCAGUCCUGUGGCUGCCUGGUGGCCGUCACGCCCCAUGAGCUGGGGACGCCGGCAUGAUUCCUUCUCUCCCGGUGGCCCCUGGCUGCCCUGGCUGCUGCCCUUGGGGACCUGGCCUUCUAGCUGUGCCCGUACUGUCUUCCCCAACUCCUGCCGCUUAGGUGGGGACAGUGGGGCGAGUGGCUGGUCCCUCUUGACGCUGUCCUAUUGCCUGAAUUUACUGUGUGAAAUAAUCGCUUUUGAGUCCAUUUUGAAAUGUCAAGGAAUGAGAAAAGCCUUGAAUAUUUAUAAAUGUUG
rnacentral:lncRNA from 1 species